rnacentral:rRNA from 1 species
AUUGAACGCUGGCGGCAGGCUUAACACAUGCAAGUCGAGCGGAGAUGAGGUGCUUGCACCUUAUCUUAGCGGCGGACGGGUGAGUAAUGCUUAGGAAUCUGCCAUUUAGUGGGGGACAACAUUCCGAAAGGGAUGCUAAUACCGCAUACGUCCUACGGGAGAAAGCAGGGGAUCUUCGGACCUUGCGCUAAAUGAUGAGCCUAAGUCGGAUUAGCUAGUUGGUGGGGUAAAGGCCUACCAAGGCGACGAUCUGUAGCGGGUCUGAGAGGAUGAUCCGCCACACUGGGACUGAGACACGGCCCAGACUCCUACGGGGGGCAGCAGUGGGGAAUAUUGGACAAUGGGCGGAAGCCUGAUCCAGCCAUGCCGCGUGUGUGAAGAAGGCCUUUUGGUUGUAAAGCACUUUAAGCGAGGAGGAGGCUACCUGGAUUAAUACUCUGGGAUAGUGGACGUUACUCGCAGAAUAAGCACCGGCUAACUCUGUGCCAGCAGCCGCGGUAAUACAGAGGGUGCGAGCGUUAAUCGGAUUUACUGGGCGUAAAGCGUGCGUAGGCGGCUUUUUAAGUCGGAUGUGAAAUCCCCGAGCUUAACUUGGGAAUUGCAUUCGAUACUGGGAAGCUAGAGUAUGGGAGAGGAUGGUAGAAUUCCAGGUGUAGCGGUGAAAUGCGUAGAGAUCUGGAGGAAUACCGAUGGCGAAGGCAGCCAUCUGGCCUAAUACUGACGCUGAGGUACGAAAGCAUGGGGAGCAAACAGGAUUAGAUACCCUGGUAGUCCAUGCCGUAAACGAUGUCCACUAGCCGUUGGGGCCUUUGAGGCUUUAGUGGCGCAGCUAACGCGAUAAGUAGACCGCCUGGGGAGUACGGUCGCAAGACUAAAACUCAAAUGAAUUGACGGGGGCCCGCACAAGCGGUGGAGCAUGUGGUUUAAUUCGAUGCAACGCGAAGAACCUUACCUGGCCUUGACAUACUAGAAACUUUCCAGAGAUGGAUUGGUGCCUUCGGGAAUCUAGAUACAGGUGCUGCAUGGCUGUCGUCAGCUCGUGUCGUGCGAUGUUGGGUUAAGUCCCGCAACGAGCGCAACCCUUUUCCUUACUUGCCAGCAUUUCGGAUGGGAACUUUAAGGAUACUGCCAGUGACAAACUGGAGGAAGGCGGGGACGACGUCAAGUCAUCAUGGCCCUUACGGCCAGGGCUACACACGUGCUACAAUGGUCGGUACAAAGGGUUGCUACACAGCGGUGUGAUGCUAAUCUCAAAAAGCCGAUCGUAGUCCGGAUUGGAGUCUGCAACUCGACUCCAUGAAGUCGGAAUCGCUAGUAAUCGCGGAUCAGAAUGCCGCGGUGAAUACGUUCCCGGGCCU